rnacentral:ncRNA from 1 species
AUCUUCAGGGCGGGGUGCAACUCCCCACCGGUGGUACAGCCCACGAGCCAUUUUGGUUGAUUUGGUGAAAUUCCAAAGCCGACGGUAUAGUCCGGAUGAAAGAGGAU